GGAGUCGGCUGGGUAAUCGCGGUUCCUUAAGGGGACCGAGGAAAGUCUGAACUCCACAGGGCAGUGUGCCUGGUAACACCAGGGAGGGGCGACCCUACGGAAAGUGCCACAGAAAACACACCGCCCCUGUUUUAACGCGGGGGUAAGGGUGAAAAGGUGCGGUAAGAGCGCACCGCGCAACUGGUAACAGUUGUGGCAGGGCAAACCCCACAUGGAGCAAGGUCAAAUAGAAAGGCGCUCCCGCAAGGGAGAUUAGGACGGCCCGUCCGAUGCCUUCGGGUAGACCGCUAGAUCCCGGGAGUAAUCCAGGGACCAGAUGAAUGAUUACCGUUUCCGCUCGCGCGGAAAUACAGAAUUCGGCUUACAGGCUGGCUCCGGCA
rnacentral:RNase_P_RNA from 1 species